CCGCGCUGAGCCUGCGCCUGCGCGCCUGGCUCCCGCGCAGCCUUGCCGCUGGCUCCCAGACCGUGCCAUACAAGGGAACAGUGGACUAGGGAAGUGGGGUUCUGCGCCUGCGGCGGGGGUCUGACAGACGCAGCUCCCGGAGAGCGCCUCAGCCCGAGGAGACCUGUGUUCGGGCCACCUGCCCUAGGCUUCCUGGCCUAGACGCUCCUCCAUGCGGCUGGCUCCUGCUGCUCGAUGUGAAUUCAGCUUGCACCAAGAAGCCACUGGGAACACGGGGGAUCACCCCUCCGAUUGAGAACCCCCCACCCUGGGCUGCAGCGUGGGAAAUGUCUCCCCUGCCAUCCAGGAGGCUGCAGAGCGGGAUGGGGCCAGAACAAUCAACCCAAACAGGAUGCACACUGCAGUGCACGCUGAGAUCACAACUCUGCUGAAACAUAUCUGCCAGUGGCUGACUCUGGAAAUGAGUGAGCAAAAAUGAAAACAGCUGUGGCACGGUGAUGAGAAAACUGAGUCCUAAAGGGGUAAAGUAACUUGCCCAAAGUCAUACAGCCAAUGGAGAACAGGACUGGAACUCAAGGCCAGAGUCUGCCUCCAGAACGCGAGCUCUUACCACCGCCUUGUCCUGCCUUACCCACGGCUGCUGUAUGGAAUUCAAAGGGUAUCUGGAAGAGUGAAAGAUAUAUUUCAAACAAUUCUCACAGUAUCUUACAUGUAGUAAGCAUGUAAUAUAUGUUAGCUAUCAUUAUAUGUAUCGGAGGAGUCAGGAGUGGGCUGUAGAGGUAUUUUGAGAUAUUAGCCAUUGGUGGGUGGGAUAUAUUUGUCCUGUCUGGCUGGUGAAGAAGGGAGCACCUGCCCCCAUCAGUUUCUCCCUCUUGGCCACGUGCUUCUUCCCAACUAUACAGCUAGGCAAAGAAGAGAGCAUUCCCUGAUUAAAAUGGGGAGAAGGACUCUAACAGCAGCCAGCCUGCAAUAAUUCUGAUGUAAUAAUUCAGCUGAGGCACAGAGGGCUAUGUUGGAGUGCCGGUUUGAGUCCUAGCUAUUCCUGAUUCAGACCCAGCUCUCUAUUAAUGUGCCUGGGAAACCAGCAGAGAAUGGCCCAAGUACUUGGGUCCCUGCCACCCAUGUAGUAAAUUAUAAUAAGAGAAAGUACAUGAUGAACCUUUUUUUUAAAGUGUUAUUUAUUUAUUUAUUUAUUUGAGAGGUAGAGUUACAGACAGUGAGAGGGAGAAACAGAGAGAAAGAUCAUCUGUCCGUUGGUUCACUUCCCAAAUGGCCACAAAGGCUAGAGCUGCGCCAAUCCAAAGCCAGGAGCCAGGAGCUUCUUCCCAGUUUCCCAUGUGGGUGCAGGGCCCCAAGGACUUCUGCUUUCUCAGGCCACAGCAAAGAGCUGGAUUGGAAGAGGAGCAGCUGGGACUAGAACCAGUGCCCACAUGGGAUGCCAGCGCUGCAGGCGGAGGAUUAACCUACUGUACCAUAGCGCUGGCCCUGACCCUGUCUUAAUUCUUCAUUUAUCAUUUGCAUUUUGGGCUGAGAGAAAAAAGGAACACAAUUGAGAAUCCCGGUUAUUUCAAAAUCAUGUUUGCCUUCUGUCAGCUGAGGGUACUGAGUGAUGCAGUUGAAGGUCCUUGCUUGCCCUUGUGGAUAGGGUAGGUUCAGAGGGAAAACACUGUCCCUGGGUUUCCAAAUGCCCAUUUCUUUUGGCAACCAGCAAGAU